rnacentral:tRNA from 1 species
AUUUUAAUAGCUUAAUUUUUAAAGCUUGAUAUUGAAGAUAUCGUGAUAGUAUUUUUAUUUACUUUAGAAUA